UGGGGGAGCAUCGGGACCUCUCUGUCCGCAUUGUCAGCUCGGGUUUCUUGGCGGUUCUUGGCCUGAUGAGUAGCUUCCAGGAAAUGCAUCUAAUAGGAAUGACUAAGUGAGGCAAAUGGAAUGUCAGCUGGGGUGGCUGCUGGUCAGACUUCACCCUUUGGAGGCCUGGCAAGCUCAGAUGCAGCACUCCAGAGAUGCAGGCUCAGACGUGGCUGCUUACGAGAAGCAAAUAGCUCUGCACAAGGAAGGGCACCCAGAGGAGAGAAGGAAAAUACCUGCUUGCAUUGUUUCACAAGUGCAUUCCCAGGUGAGGAGACACUGGAAGGUGAGCAGAGCAGAAGGGAGGGUUCCAAGUUAUCUGGGAAGAGUUGGACAGUAGAGAGGUCCCUGUAGCAUCAACGUGUGUCCCAGAAAUGCUGCCCAUGGUCCCCAGCCCUCAGACCUCCCACUGCAAACACUGCUGCCUCCCACUGCUGACUUGUGCAGAGCAGGCAGUUGUUUUUAUUUGCUUGCUGCUCCAAAUGCGUUUUUCUUCACA